UGAAAGGACAGUUGGUUUGGCGCAGCGGCAACUGAGCGGCGACACCACAUACCAGAUUCUCGGCGCUCGUGUGUCUGUAUAUUAUAAACAGCACUUUUGAUGCGAUGGAAAUACCAGAGCCGAGACUAGUGCGAAUAGGCACUUUCUUUGGGUUUUUUUUUUUCGUAGUUCUCUGAUUCGAGAAAUGCCAAUAACAUGCAGGCCCCGCAGGAGAUUCGCUUCGGGCUGCUUCUCAUUUCUCCUCCGAGCCUAAGCUUUAGGCCUAGGAAACAUUCCCAGAUUUCACGAAAACAAAGCCGAACAAAAAACGGAAGGAAAAAAAUGUGUGGUAAAGCUGACAAAGGGAGCAAGAAGGCACUUGGGACUGAGCAACUCCCACCAUAUCCAUUUGAGAAAUAUGAACAUGAUGGAUUCUUGAAGCAGAAAAACUAAGAUCCCCAAGGGAAAUGGGUGUUGACCCAAAGGUUAGAGUUAGGAGGAACUUGGUGGAAAAGCAGCUUAUGAGUGUUUCAUUUUCUCUGUGGGAUAAAAUAUGUGUAUUUUUUUUCAGAUAAGAACUCAGUAUAGAUCAUAAUAAAAGCCUUAACUGCC